UUGAUUAGUAACACUAGAACAUUCCUUUACGUAAAUAAGCAAAUAACUUUGUAUUGUUAAAUUAUACAACGGAAAUAAGUGGAAUUUAAACAUCUAAAAUGAGUAUUCAAGAAUUGUCAAGAGAUAUUGAUUAUCUAACUGGGUAUUUGAAAGAAAAAUAUCCCAACGACCCAGACAUACAAGCAUGGAAAUCGUUAUACUGCGGAAAAUAUUACGGACUUAUUCAACAGUAUGUCUGGCAUCCAGACUAAUUACAACUCAAUAUGCAAAACUUCAUGAAGAAAACGAUUGCUUAAAACAAAAUAUAUCUGAAAAAACUACUAAGAUAAACAACUUACAACAACAAUUGGAAAAACUUCAAGAAGAGAACGAUAAAUUAAAACAAAGUACAUCUAAGAAGGCAACGAAACACAAACUACAAAGAAAACAAGAUAUAAUGAAAUUAAAAUAUAUGUGGAACAAUCAUAUUCAGAAGAAAGAAGAAUAACUGGAGAAAUUACACCUGUCGAUCUUCCAACUGUGGACAAAUGUGUCGAAACUUUAAAAAACUUUGAUAAAUUAAUCAACUCGGAUAAAAGAAAUAUAAUUUUCAAUUCUUGUAAAAAAGUUAAAAGUGCUAACAAAAAAAAGGAAAAAAAAGGAUUUAAGGAGGCAGAAUUAUGGUUUUAAUUAUUCAUUGUCACAUUGUAACUUUUUAAUACGUUUAAAUAUCAGUUAAUAAGACAUGAAAUAGGAAGUGAUUGUUUGUUCAUUAUGUUUUACAUUGUUAACUAUCAGUAUUUUAUACAAUAAAUCAUAAAUGUUUAUACCAUCUUGUAACAUUUUUAUGAAAAAUAAACAAUAAUAACCACACA
rnacentral:lncRNA from 1 species